rnacentral:rRNA from 1 species
AAUUUUAUUAAACUGGCGAACGGGUGAGUAACGCGUAGACAACUUGCCCAGGGAUUUGGGAUAACACCGAGAAAUUGGUGCUAAUACCGAAUAACAUCACAUUGACCCCGGUUUUCGUGAUCAAAGGUGGCUUCGGCUACUGUCUCUGGAUGGGUCUGCGUCUGAUUAGCUAGUUGGUGAGGUAAUGGCUCACCAGGGCGACGAUCAGUAGCUGGUCUGAGAGGAUGAUCAGCCACACUGGGACUGAGAUACGGCCCAGACUCC